GACGUAGGGGGCGAGCGUUGUCCGAAGUUACUGGGCGUAAAGAGCGCGUAGGCGGGUUUUUAAGUGAGGGGUGAAAGGUUCAGGCUCAACCUGGACACUGCCUUUCAUACUGGAGACCUUGAGUGCGGGAGAGGCGAGUGGAAUGGUCGGUGUAGCGGUGAAAUGCGUAGAUAUCGAUCGGAACACCGAUGGCGAAGGCAGCUCGCUGGGACGGUACUGACGCUGAGGCGCGAAAGCGUGGGGAGCGAACAGG
rnacentral:rRNA from 1 species